CGCACGGGUGAGUAACACGUAUCCAACCUGCCGUCUACUCUUGGCCAGCCUUCUGAAAGGAAGAUUAAUCCAGGAUGGGAUCAUGAGUUCACAUGUCCGCAUGACGCAUAGAGGUCGCAUGAUCUUUAUGCCAAAGAUUUAUCGCUUCAAGAUGGCCUCGCGUCUGAUUAGCUAGUUGGCGGGGUAACGGCCCACCAAACCGACGAUGGAUAGGGGUUCUGAGAGGAAGGUCCCCCACAUUGGUACUGAGACACGGACCAAACUCC
rnacentral:rRNA from 1 species